UACAGAGGUCCCAAGCGUUGUUCGGAUUCAUUGGGCGUAAAGGGUGCGUAGGCGGCGCGGUAAGUCGGGUGUGAAAUCUCGGAGCUUAACUCCGAAACUGCAUUCGAUACUGCCGUGCUUGAGGACUGGAGAGGAGACUGGAAUUUACGGUGUAGCGGUGAAAUGCGUAGAUAUCGUAAGGAAGACCAGUGGCGAAGGCGGGUCUCUGGACAGUUCCUGACGCUGAGGCACGAAGGCCAGGAGAGCAAACGGG
rnacentral:rRNA from 1 species